AGAGUUUGAUCCUGGCUCAGGAUGAACGCUGGCGGCGUGCCUAAUACAUGCAAGUCGAGCGAACGGACGAGAAGCUUGCUUCUCUGAUGUUAGCGGCGGACGGGUGAGUAACACGUGGAUAACCUACCUAUAAGACUGGGAUAACUUCGGGAAACCGGAGCUAAUACCGGAUAAUAUUUUGAACCGCAUGGUUCAAAAGUGAAAGACGGUCUUGCUGUCACUUAUAGAUGGAUCCGCGCUGGCAUUAGCUAGUUGGUAAGGUAACGGCUUACCAAGGCAACGAUGCAUAGCCGACCUGAGAGGGUGAUCGGCCACACUGGAACUGAGACACGGUCCAGACUCCUACGGGAGGCAGCAGUAGGGAAUCUUCCGCAAUGGGCGAAAGCCUGACGGAGCAACGCCGCGUGAGUGAUGAAGGUCUUCGGAUCGUAAAACUCUGUUAUUAGGGAAGAACAUAUGUGUAAGUAACUGUGCACAUCUUGACGGUACCUAAUCAGAAAGCCACGGCUAACUACGUGCCAGCAGCCGCGGUAAUACGUAGGUGGCAAGCGUUAUCCGGAAUUAUUGGGCGUAAAGCGCGCGUAGGCGGUUUUUUAAGUCUGAUGUGAAAGCCCACGGCUCAACCGUGGAGGGUCAUUGGAAACUGGAAAACUUGAGUGCAGAAGAGGAAAGUGGAAUUCCAUGUGUAGCGGUGAAAUGCGCAGAGAUAUGGAGGAACACCAGUGGCGAAGGCGACUUUCUGGUCUGUAACUGACGCUGAUGUGCGAAAGCGUGGGAUCAAACAGGAUUAGAUACCCUGGUAGUCCACGCCGUAAACGAUGAGUGCUAAGUGUUAGGGGGUUUCCGCCCCUUAGUGCUGCAGCUAACGCAUUAAGCACUCCGCCUGGGGAGUACGACCGCAAGGUUGAAACUCAAAGGAAUUGACGGGGACCCGCACAAGCGGUGGAGCAUGUGGUUUAAUUCGAAGCAACGCGAAGAACCUUACCAAAUCUUGACAUCCUUUGACAACUCUAGAGAUAGAGCCUUCCCCUUCGGGGGACAAAGUGACAGGUGGUGCAUGGUUGUCGUCAGCUCGUGUCGUGAGAUGUUGGGUUAAGUCCCGCAACGAGCGCAACCCUUAAGCUUAGUUGCCAUCAUUAAGUUGGGCACUCUAAGUUGACUGCCGGUGACAAACCGGAGGAAGGUGGGGAUGACGUCAAAUCAUCAUGCCCCUUAUGAUUUGGGCUACACACGUGCUACAAUGGACAAUACAAAGGGCAGCGAAACCGCGAGGUCAAGCAAAUCCCAUAAAGUUGUUCUCAGUUCGGAUUGUAGUCUGCAACUCGACUACAUGAAGCUGGAAUCGCUAGUAAUCGUAGAUCAGCAUGCUACGGUGAAUACGUUCCCGGGUCUUGUACACACCGCCCGUCACACCCACGAGAGUUUGUAACACCCCGAAGCCGGUGGAGUAACCUUUUAGGAGCUAGCCGUCGAAGGUGGGACAAAUGAUUGGGGUGAAGUCGUAACAAGGUAGCCGUAUCGGAAGGUGCGGCUGGAUCACCU
rnacentral:rRNA from 1 species